AAAUGCUGGGGCAAGCGUGUAGGGCGGUGUGUAGGCAAAUCCGCACACCAUGGGCCUGAGACGUUAAGCGGAGCCGUAUUAGGUGAAGUCAAUGAUCCCAUGCUGCCAAGAAAAGCCUCUAGCGAGCUUCGAGCGGCCCGUACCCCAAACCGACACAGGUGGUCAGGUAGAGAAUACCGAGGCGAUCGGGCGAACUGUGGUUAAGGAACUCGGCAAAUUACCCCCGUAACUUCGGGAGAAGGGGGGCCACAGACUGUCAUACCCCACGCGGGUGGCAGCAGUAGGUGGCCGCAGAGACCAGGGGGAAGCGACUGUUUACUAAAAACACAGGUCCGUGCGAAGUCGUAAGACGAUGUAUACGGACUGACGCCUGCCCGGUGCUGGAACGUUAAGGGGACCGGUUAGUCCGCAAGGGCGAAGCUGAGAACUUAAGCGCCAGUAAACGGCGGUGGUAACUAUAACCAUCCUAAGGUAGCGAAAUUCCUUGUCGGGUAAGUUCCGACCUGCACGAAUGGCGUAACGACUUCCCUACUGUCUCAACCACAGGCCCGGCGAAAUUGCACUACGAGUAAAGAUGCUCGUUACGCGCGGAAGGACGGAAAGACCCCGGGACCUUCACUAUAGCUUGACAUUGGUAUCCGAAUUUAAUUGUGUAGGAUAGGUGGGAGGCUUUGAUCCGCGGACGCCAGUCCGUCGGGGAGCCAAGGUUGAAAUACCACUCUGUUGAAUUUGGGUAUCUAACUUCGGACCGUGAUCCGGUUCAGGGACAGUGUCUGGUGGGUAGUUUAACUGGGGCGGUUGCCUCCUAAAAUGUAACGGAGGCGCCCAAAGGUUCCUUCAGCCUGGUUGGCAAUCAGGUGUUGAGUGCAAGUGCACAAGGGAGCUUGACUGUGAGACUGACAGGUCGAGCAGGGACGAAAGUCGGGACUAGUGAUCCGGCACCUGCGAGUGGAAGCGGUGUCGCUCAGCGGAUAAAAGGUACCCCGGGGAUAACAGGCUGAUCUUCCCCAAGAGUCCAUAUCGACGGGAUGGUUUGGCACCUCGAUGUCGGCUCGUCGCAUCCUGGGGCUGGAGUAGGUCCCAAGGGUUGGGCUGUUCGCCCAUUAAAGCGGCACGCGAGCUGGGUUUAGAACGUCGUGAGACAGUUCGGUCCCUAUCCUCCGCGCGCGUAGGAGACUUGAGAAGAGCUGUCCCUAGUACGAGAGGACCGGGACGGACGAACCUCUGGUGUGCCAGUUGUCAUGCCAAUGGCACGGCUGGUUAGCUACGUUCGGAAGGGAUAACCGCUGAAAGCAUCUAAGCGGGAAGCUCGCUUCAAGAUGAGGUCUCCCACCCCUUGAGGGUUAG
rnacentral:rRNA from 1 species